CGGCAGGUCUUACACGACCAGCUCCUGCUGAACCUCCCCAGGGUAGGAAUACAGCAAGGAUAGGCGGUUGUAGCGGUGCGAUGUGAGUAGCCUGCCGACU
rnacentral:SRP_RNA from 1 species